rnacentral:misc_RNA from 1 species
AAAUCGGUACAUCCAGUAAAAAGUUAUGCGGUAUUAUACAACGUAGGUCGACGAAAAAAGCGUCAAGUAAAAACGCAUUAUUAGAUAUAACUCGAAAAGUAGUUGUUAGAUCUCAAAUAAAUUUAAAUGGGACCAAUUGGCACACAACACCUUUCGAUUAAAACAAAAUUUGUCGAAAUCGGUCCACACGGUCAAAAGUUCUGAUGUAACAUACAUAAAAAAAAAAAAAAAAAAUACAGCCGAAUUGAGAACCUCCUCCUUUUUUGGAAGUCGGUUAAAAA